AGAGUUUGAUCAUGGCUCAGGAUGAACGCUAGCGACAGGCCUAACACAUGCAAGUCGAGGGGCAGCACAAUGGUAGCAAUACUAUGGUGGCGACCGGCGCACGGGUGAGUAACACGUAUGCAACCUACCUGUAAGCGGGGAAUAACUCGGAGAAAUUCGGACUAACACCGCAUAACACUUCAAAACUGCAUGGUUUUGAAGUUAAAUAUUUAUAGCUUACAGAUGGGCAUGCGUAUGAUUAGCUAGUUGGUGAGGUAAUGGCUCACCAAGGCAACGAUCAUUAGGGGUUCUGAGAGGAAGGUCCCCCACACUGGUACUGAGACACGGACCAGACUCCUACGGGAGGCAGCAGUGAGGAAUAUUGGUCAAUGGGCGAGAGCCUGAACCAGCCAAGUCGCGUGAAGGAAGAAGGUUCUAUGGAUUGUAAACUUCUUUUGUAAGGGAAUAAAGUUCGCUACGUGUAGCGUUUUGUAUGUACUUUACGAAUAAGGAUCGGCUAACUCCGUGCCAGCAGCCGCGGUAAUACGGAGGAUCCAAGCGUUAUCCGGAUUUAUUGGGUUUAAAGGGUGCGUAGGCGGACCCGUAAGUCAGUGGUGAAAGUUUGCAGCUCAACUGUAAAAUUGCCAUUGAAACUAUGGGUCUUGAGUGUAAAUGAGGUAGGCGGAAUGUGUUGUGUAGCGGUGAAAUGCUUAGAUAUAACACAGAACACCAAUUGCGAAGGCAGCUUACUAGGAUACAACUGACGCUGAGGCACGAAAGCGUGGGGAUCAAACAGGAUUAGAUACCCUGGUAGUCCACGCAGUAAACGAUGAAUACUAACUGUAUGCGAUAUACUGUAUGUGGUAAAGCGAAAGCGUUAAGUAUUCCACCUGGGGAGUACGUUCGCAAGAAUGAAACUCAAAGGAAUUGACGGGGGCCCGCACAAGCGGAGGAACAUGUGGUUUAAUUCGAUGAUACGCGAGGAACCUUACCCGGGCUCGAACGACUAGUGGUAGUCCUUAUGAAAGUAGGGGCGACCCGCAAGGGAGCUAGCCGAGGUGCUGCAUGGCUGUCGUCAGCUCGUGUCGUGAGAUGUUGGGUUAAGUCCCGCAACGAGCGCAACCCUUGUCCUGUGUUGCUACUCCGCAAGGAGAGGACUCUCAGGAGACUGCCGUGGAUAACACGGAGGAAGGUGGGGACGACGUCAAGUCAUCAUGGCCUUUAUGUCCAGGGCUACACACGUGAUACAAUGGUGCAGACAGAGGGUCGCAAGACCGCAAGGUGGAGCCAAUCCCUAAACUGCACCCUAGUUCAGAUCGUGGGCUGCAAUUCGCCCACGUGAAGCUGGAAUCGCUAGUAAUCGCAGAUCAGCAGGCUGCGGUGAAUACGUUCCCGGGCCUUGUACACACCGCCCGUCACACCACGAAAGUCAGAUGCAACAGAAGUACCUCGGAUACUCGAGGUCCCAAGUUGUGCCUGGUGAUUGGGGUGAAGUCGUAACAAGGUAACCGUA
rnacentral:rRNA from 1 species